CACUUCUAAGGAAGGCAGCAGGCGCGCAAAUUACCCAAUCCUGACUCAGGGAGGUAGUGACAAGAAAUAACAAUAAACCGGCUUAUGCCGGUUUAAUUGGAAUGAGUACAAUUUAAACAUCUUAACGAGGAACAAUUGGAGGGCAAGUCUGGUGCCAGCAGCCGCGGUAAUUCCAGCUCCAAUAGCGUAUACUAAAGUUGUUGCAGUUAAAAAGCUCGUAGUUGGAUUUCUGUGGGGACGGAGCGGCCGGCCGCAACACGCGGUUCGAGCUAGCGCUUUCCCUACAUCCUGCCGCGAACCGUGCUACCAUUAGUUUGGUGGCGCCGGGGAUCGGCUCGAUUACUUUGAGAAAAAUAGAGUGUUCAAAGCAGGCCACAUGCCUUGAAUAAGUUAGCAUGGAAUAAUAACUAAGGACUUCGGUUCUAUUUUGUUGGUGUUCGGGACUGAAGUAAUGAUUGAUAGGGACAGUUGGGGCGGUCUGUAUUCCAAAGCGAGAGGUGAAAUUCUUAGACCUUCGGAAGACAAACAGCUGCGAAAGCGUUCCGCAAGGAUGUUCCCUUUGAUCAAGAACGAAAGUUGGGGGAUCGAAGACGAUCAGAUACCGUCGUAGUCUCAACUAUAAACUAUACCAGCUAGGGAUCGGCCAACGUUAUUUUAUACCGACUUGGUCGGCACCUUAUGAGAAAUCAAAGCAUCUGGGUUCCGGGGGGAGUAUGGUCGCAAGGCCGAAACUUAAAGGAAUUGACGGAAGGGCACCACCAGCCGUGGAGCCUGUGGCUUAAUUUGACUCAACACGGGAAAACUUACCAGGUCCGGACAUAGUAAGGAUUGACAGAUUGAUAGCUCUUUCUUGAUUCUGUGGGUGGUGGUGCAUGGCCGUUCUUAGUUGGUGGAGUGAUUUGUCUGGUUAAUUCCGUUAACGAACGAGACCCCAGCCUGCUAAAUAGCGCGCAUGAGCUUUGCUCGUGGCGAGCUUCUUAGAGGGACUAUGAUGCGCGAUAGCACAUGGAAGUUUGGGGCAAUAACAGGUCUGUGAUGCCCUUAGAUGUUCUGGGCCGCACACGGGCUACACUGGCGCCUGCAACGAGCAUAUCAGCUGGCCCGAGAGGGUCUUGGCUAAUCUUUUGAACCGGCGCCGUGCUUGGGAUUGACCUUUGCAAUUGUUGGUCAUGCAACGAGGAAUGCCUUGUAAACGCGAGUCAUCAGCUCGCAUUGAAUACGUCCCUGCCCUUUGUACACACCACCCGUCGCUCCUACCGAUGAAUGUUCCGAUGAAAUUUUCGGAGAGCACCUGUGAACUUGGCUCUGCCUUGCGAACGGGAGGCUCAAAGUCACUUAAAUCUGAACAUUU
rnacentral:rRNA from 1 species